rnacentral:rRNA from 1 species
UACGGAGGGGGCUAGCGUUGUUCGGAAUUACUGGGCGUAAAGCGCACGUAGGCGGACCAGCAAGUUGGGGGUGAAAUCCCGGGGCUCAACCCCCGGAACUGCCUUCAAAACUGCGGGUCUGGAGGUCGAGAGAGGUGAGUGGAAUUCCGAGUGUAGAGGUGAAAUUCGUAGAUAUUCGGAGGAACACCAGUGGCGAAGGCGGCUCACUGGCUCGAUACUGACGCUGAGGUGCGAAAGCGUGGGGAGCAAACAGG